rnacentral:misc_RNA from 1 species
AGAGUACAUGAACAAAAGGAGAUGUUCAGGAGAUAGAAAUAAUUAAAAAAAAAAAAAAAAAAAAGAACCAAGCAGAAAUUCUGGAGUUGCAGGAUACCAUCAAUGAAAUGAAAAAUGCAGUAGAGAGCUUCAACAGCAGACUUGCACAGAAGAAUCAGUUAACUCGAAGACGAGUAAUUUGAAAUUACAGUCAGAGGCAUGAAAAAGAAUUUAAAAAAAUAAAGAAAUCCUAUGAGAUUUAUGGUAUAGCAUCAAGUGAAACAAAUACACAUUCUGUUGUCUUCAACCACCUUACUCCUCCACCGCCCGAUGAACACCUGGAUGAAGACAAGCAUUUCGUGGUGGCUCUGUAUGACUACACCGCUAUGAAUGAUCGGGACCUGCAGAUGCUGAAGGGGGAGAAGCUACAGGUCCUGAAGGGAACUGGAGACUGGUGGCUGGCCAGGUCACUCGUCACAGGAAGAGAAGGCUAUGUGCCCAGCAACUUUGUGGCCCGAGUGGAGAGCCUGGAAAUGGAAAGGUGGUUCUUUAGAUCACAGGGUCGGAAGGAGGCUGAGAGGCAGCUUCUUGCUCCAAUCAACAAGGCCGGCUCCUUUCUUAUCAGAGAGAGUGAAACCAACAAAGGUGCCUUCUCCCUGUCUGUGAAGGAUGUCACCACCCAGGGGGAGCUGAUCAAGCACUAUAAGAUCCGCUGCCUGGAUGAAGGGGGCUACUACAUCUCCCCCCGGAUCACCUUCCCCUCGCUCCAGGCCCUGGUGCAGCACUAUUCUAAAUCCCUGGGCCCAGGAUGAAUGGGAGAUCCCCCGGCAGUCUCUCAGGCUGGUCAGGAAACUCGGGUCUGGACAAUUCGGCGAAGUCUGGAUGGGUUACUACAAAAACAACAUGAAGGUGGCCAUUAAGACGCUGAAGGAGGGAACCAUGUCUCCAGAAGCCUUCCUGGGUGAGGCCAACGUGAUGAAGGCUCUGCAGCACGAGCGGCUGGUCCGACUCUACGCAGUGGUCACCAAGGAGCCCAUCUACAUUGUCACCGAGUACAUGGCCAGAGGAUGCCUGCUGGAUUUCCUGAAGACAGAUGAAGGGAGCAGAUUGUCACUCCCAAGGCUGAUUGACAUGUCGGCGCAGGUUGGUGAAGUACCAGAUUGCUGAAGGGAUGGCAUACAUUGAGCGCAUGAAUUCCAUCCACCGCGACCUGCGGGCGGCCAACAUCCUGGUGUCUGAGGCCUUGUGCUGCAAAAUUGCUGAUUUUGGCUUGGCUCGAAUCAUCGACAGUGAAUACACGGCCCAAGAGGGGGCCAAGUUCCCCAUCAAGUGGACAGCCCCGGAAGCCAUCCACUUCGGGGUCUUCACCAUCAAAGCAGACGUGUGGUCGUUUGGAGUCCUCCUGAUGGAAGUUGUCACUUAUGGGCGGGUGCCAUACCCAGGGAUGAGCAACCCCGAGGUCAUCCGCAACCUGGAGCGCGGCUACCGCAUGCCGCGCCCCGACACCUGCCCGCCCGAGCUGUACCGCGGCGUCAUCGCCGAGUGCUGGCGCAGCCGGCCCGAGGAGCGGCCCACCUUCGAGUUCCUGCAGUCGGUGCUGGAGGACUUCUACACGGCCACCGAGCGGCAGUACGAGCUGCAGCCCUAGCCGGCCGCGCCCGCCUGCGCCCCGUGCCCACCUCUGCGCGGACGACCCCGACUUCCGUGCCAUCCCAGACGGGCCGCGAAGGCGGGGUGUCGCCUGUGCCCUUUUCUCAGACCCGGAAUCCAGUGGGCAGAGGCAGCUUCGCAGGGGGUCCCCGGACGGACUCCUUCACCGACUGCACCCCCGGGCGAGUUACGCGGCCUCUCUGUGCCGCUUCAUUUGUAGAGGGCUGUAACAGUGACCUCGCACGGUCAUCCGGAGUACUAAGCCCCAGUAAGGUGUUCAGGACUGGUAAGCGACUGUCAUCAAGUAAGGCCCCCGUGCUGGGCACCCCCCGUGCUGGCCGCGUCCCCGCCUCUGCGCCCUGCGUGGACCCCGCCCUGCCCCGCUACAGAAGCCAGACUGGGUCCCGCGGACGCCAGCAGGGGCAACCCCAGCCUAGGCUGCGCUCCAGCACUGCGGGGCUUUUCUGCAAUAAAGUCACGAGCGUUCGA